rnacentral:rRNA from 1 species
GAAACUUAAGGAAUUGACGGGGCCGCACAAGCAGUGGAGUAUGUGGUUUAAUUCGACGCAACGCGAAGAACCUUACCAAGGCUUGACAUGUUGGAAGUAGUGAACGGAGACGGAAACGACCUGUUAAAUCAGGAGCCAUCACAGGUGAUGCAUGGCUGUCGUCAGCUCGUGCCGUGAGGUGUCGGGUUAAGUCCCAUAACGAGCGCAACCCUUGUUGCCAGUUAAUUUCUCUGGCGAGACUGCCCCGCAAAACGGGGAGGAAGGCGAGGAUGACGUCAAGUCAGUAUGUCCCUUAUGCCUUGGGCCACACACACGCUACAAUGGAUAGUUACAGCAGGUUGCAAUGGAGCGAUCCGGAGCCAAUCCUUAAAACUAUCCUCAGUUCGGAUUGCAGGCUGCAAUUCGCCUGCAUGAAGUCGGAGUUGCUAGUAACCGCGUAUCAGCUUGGCGCGGUGAAUACGUUCUCGGGCCUU